UACGUAGGUGGCAAGCGUUGUCCGGAUUUAUUGGGUUUAAAGGGUGCGUAGGCGGCUUAUUAAGUCAGGGGUGAAAGACGGUGGCUCAACCAUCGCAGUGCCUUUGAUACUGAUGAGCUUGAAUACACUUGAGGUAGGCGGAAUGUGACAAGUAGCGGUGAAAUGCAUAGAUAUGUCACAGAACACCAAUUGCGAAGGCAGCUUACUAAGGUGCAAUUGACGCUGAGGCACGAAAGCGUGGGGAUCAAACAGG
rnacentral:rRNA from 1 species